UCGCCGAAUAUUCCCUACCUCCCCCACCCCUCCCCCGUUUCUCUCUCCUGCCGUUUUAAUUUAGCACCCGGGUCUUCUUACCCUCGCACUCCUAUCCUCUCCUCCAGACAUUCCAGAGAGUUCUCAUCACACCAGAAUGCACUCUCUUUCUCCUCCUCCUUCUCCCCUUGGGUUGGAGAGCCGCGGGGGGCCGGGGGGGGGGGAGGUGGGGGCGGGGGGGAGGUGGGGGACGGUGGGGGAAGAGGGGAAGAUUGCAAGUUCAACUCCCAAGGGAUUCUAUUCUUUUAACAGCUUUACUUUCCCUUUUCUUCUUUGCGUAACCUUCACCUACCUCCUAAUUUAUAACAGAAGCGGGUUCUUUCCCUUUCAUUUCCUAGUUUACAGUUCCCGUCUGGGGGUGUUCGUCACACACGCAACUCUCUGUAUCCCACCUCUCACGCCAGCAUCGUUCCCGUACCCCCCAUCCCCCGGGCUACUAUUUUCUUUUACUUGGUUGCCGUCUAAUUGCACUUUCUCUUCUCAGGAUUAAGUUAGUUAUCCUGAUUUAAAGUUCUCCGGAUAGCACCUCUUUAUAUUUGUCAAAUGACUUCAUUUCCCAAUUGAAGGGUGGGGGUUGAAGGGGGCAGUGUAUCACCCACUUAAGUCCCUUUUAACACCCCAGUCCCACCACUACCCGCCCGGGUCAUGUCUUGUGUGAAUGAUAACGAAUUCCGGACGAUUUUCCCUCUCAACGCGUGUCAGUUACUUAGGAGUUAUUCCUCAGAGCGUCUCAAACCCCUCACUUGCAUCCUCUGGCUUCGAGUGGUCAUCCUUCCAGCCUCCCCCACCACCCCGCCCCUCCUCUCCUUCCGUCCCCGGCAGCCCUGGCUGCGGGCGGAGCGCAGUCCAAAGACCUCGUCCUCUCACUUCUUGUUUCUCGCUGCUGCAGCUGCCGCUGAAAUUCGCUGUGGCCGCUGCCUCUUCCCGCUUUAAUCCCAGACCUCCAGUCAUUGGGCAGCUCCUCAGAGGCAAGAAGUCAACACCAUGGCAACCCGACAAGCCUAUCAAAUCACCGGCUGGUGUGACAGCGGCAACACUGCAGGCAGGAGUGGGUUGGGCAGAAGAGCAGAGUGGCCGCCACGCUCAGCAAAAAAUGAUAACAUCAUUUUUAUGUGACUCAUAUGCAAAAUGAAAUACAUUCAUCUAUGAGAUCGGCUGAUGGGAAAUAAAAUCAGAUAUUUUACUUCUAACUCCA
rnacentral:lncRNA from 1 species